rnacentral:misc_RNA from 1 species
GAACGCACAUGGCGCCUUCCAGUAUCCUGGGAGGCAUGCCUGUCCGAGCGUCGUUUCAACCCUCGAGCCCCCGUGGCCCGGCGUUGGGGAUCUGCCACGGCAGGCCCCUAAAUCCAGUGGCGGACCCGCUGGGCCCUCUCCUUGCGUAGUAGCAUCAGCCUCGCAUCGGGAGCCCGCGUGGCCAUCCGGCCCCUAAACCCCCCCAAAGACCGCCCCCGGCGGCACCAAGGUUGACCUCGGAUCAGGUAGGAAUACCCGCUGAACUUAAG